rnacentral:rRNA from 1 species
CAGCAGCCGCGGGAAAACAGAGGGUGCGAGCGUUAAUCGGAUUUACUGGGCGUAAAGCGUGCGUAGGCGGCUUCUUAAGUCGGAUGUGAAAUCCCUGAGCUUAACUUAGGAAUUGCAUUCGAUACUGGGAAGCUAGAGUAUGGGAGAGGAUGGUAGAAUUCCAGGUGUAGCGGUGAAAUGUGUAGAGAUCUGGAGGAAUACCGAUGGCGAAGGCAGCCAUCUGGCCUAAUACUGACGCUGAGGUACGAAAGCAUGGGGAGCAAACAGGAUUAGAUACCCGAGUAGUCCCUGUCUCUUAUAC